rnacentral:lncRNA from 1 species
GAAGAUAAAAUAAAAUUAACCAACAAUAGUCUGAACUCUGAAGUUAAUAAGUAUAAAUGAGUCAAUUUCUAAUAAUGAAGUGUCAUGAACACAAAUGGUAUAACCUGAAAGCAACCACUUUAAAGAUAUUUGCCCUCGAAAAUAUCUUAAUACUAACUACCCCAAUUAAAAUAUCUCAACGCUUAAAUGCUGAAAUUUCCCUCGGGAGUAUUUCGUGCGCAGCCGUCGGCUUUAAACUUGAAACCACUAGACCAGGAGGUGUGUGGUUGAAUUUUGCAGUUAGCAAGGUGGGCACGCCAGAUACGGUCAAAAUUCAUCACUUUUUAUGUUAUUGGGUGUUGCUCGUUUUCGCUUACAGCGGAUUGCUUCUAAUGCACACUCAUUGCCCUAAGACCCUUCAAAUUAAAAACUAAAAUUGAGAUUUCUGAAAGCAAUGUAAUUAAUUACAACCAACAAGAUGCCCAUUCAUAGUGCAUUUUUUAAACUUUUCUAAUCAUCUUACAAAUUAUUGUAACCGCAAUGAUCAAAAUUAAAAUUGUGAUUAAAAUGAAAACGCUAAAAAAUUCAAGUGAUCAACUGAACAAUUUACCGAAAAGAAAAUUACCCAUUGACCUCAGUUGAAAGAUAUAUAUAUAUCUAAAUCUUCUGUCAAAAUUUCAGUGGAAUCCAAAUAAAUUUAAAGCAGGCACUAAAAUUGUUUAAAGCACAUUUUAAGCUAUCAACAUGUCUGCAUUGGCGCAUUCUUUUAGCCUCUGAAAUAAAAGAAUUCAUUUACCUUGAUUCUCAGUGAGGCCAAUCGUGUAACCGUCGAAGUUUGUCUCCCCUAACCCAGAAAAAUCCCAACAACAAACAAAGGCGCCAACGUGCUAAUAACAUACUAAAAUUUACAUGAUUGUGUUACAUUUUUU